AACACUGCUAAAAACAUCAGAGGACAAACCCGGUACUUUUUCCCUAAACACCCCCGCCAUGUCCUCCCCAUCACCAGCGACCCCCUCUUCCCCGCGAAAGCCAAGCUGAGCAGCAGCCAGCUUAUAGAUAGAGAGAUUGGGGUACCGCCCGAGGGGGAAGGUGCGCACCACCCUCAACUCUACUAGCAUAGCUAGCUAACCCUCUUCGCUGCCACCCACGACCGCGCGCGAGCUCUGCGGAUUCAUGGAGCUGCUCGUCUCCGGCUCGACCGUACUGUCUAGCUAGUUCUGCGACGAAGGACGAGGAGGAAGGAAGAAGAAGAGGGGGUGUGAGGUUUGCUAGGUUGGUUCUCGCUCGAGUUUGUUCGAUCGGCGCGCGGCAUGGACGCCUACGAGGCGACCAAGGUGGUGUUCGCGCGGAUCCAGGGCCUGGACCCGGACCACGCCGCCAAGAUCAUGGGCCUCCUGCUCAUCCAGGACCACGGCGAGAAGGAGAUGAUACGGCUCGCCUUCGGCCCGGAGGCGCUGCUGCACGCCGUCAUGGCCAAGGCGCGCAAGGACCUCGGCCUGCUCCCGGGGUCGGGGCCGGGCACGCCGACCUCCGCCUCCCAGGCAGGAGGAGGACACUCGCCGUUCAUGCUCUCGCGCCAGAACUCCGGGCGCGGCGGCGGCGGAACGGCGCCCUCGCCGCUCUCGGUCUCCUCGCCGUCCUCGUGGGCCCCGCCGCCCGUGUUCUCGAGGAGCAACAGCGUGAGCAAUGGCGCCGCGGAGGAGAUGGCCGGCGUCAGGGAGGAGCUGAUGAGCCCGGCCAACGGCCCGCCGUCGCCGUUCUUCGGCGGGGACUCGCUGAUCCUCGACGAGCUCCACCUGCAGGACCAGCUCGCCUUCCUCAGCGGCGACGGAGGAGGGCGUCAGCUCCCACAGUUCGACAACGGCGAGUGCCGAAGCCCGGGCGCCAGCGACGGCGGGCUCUUCCCGUACGGCGGCGCAGGGUGGGCCAACGGCGGGCCGGGGCACCGACGGAGCGCGUCCGUGAGCGAGCUCUGCUUCGGCGGCAGCGACGGCCUCGGCUGGAAGCCGUGCCUGUACUACGCGCGCGGGUACUGCAAAAACGGCAGCGCCUGCCGGUUCGUGCACGGCGGCGGCCUCUCCGACGACGCGCUCGUCGGGGCGAAGAUGGACCAGGCCUCCAUGGAGCAGCAGUGCCAGGACUUCCUCCUCCGCUCCAAGUCCCAGCGCCUGGCAGCCGCCGCCGCCGCGUUCCCCUACUCACCCACCGGCUCGCUCCCUGGCUCCCCCUCCGCGGCCAGCAAGUGCUUGAGCUUGCUCCUCCAGCAGCAGCAGCAAAACGAGAGCCAAAGGGCCGCUGCCGCGGCGGCCGCAGCAGCGCUGAUGCUGGGCGGCGACGAGGCGCACAAGUUCAUGGGCCGUCCCCGGCUAGACCGCGCCGACUUCGCCAGCUUGAUGAACCCGGGGUCCCGCCAGAUUUACCUCACCUUCCCGGCGGACAGCACCUUCCGCGAGGAGGACGUCUCCAACUACUUCAGCAUCUACGGCCCCGUCCACGACGUGCGCAUUCCCUACCAGCAGAAGCGCAUGUUCGGGUUCGUCACCUUCGUGUACCCGGAGACGGUGAAGCUGAUCCUGGCCAAGGGCAACCCGCACUUCAUCUGCGACGCCCGCGUGCUCGUCAAGCCCUACAAGGAGAAGGGCAAGGUCCCCGACAAGUUCAGGAAGCAGCCGGGCGUGGACUUCUCCGGCUGCGGCUCUCCCACCGGGUUGGACGCCAGAGACCCCUUCGAUCUGCACCAGCUCGGUGCGAGGAUGCUGCAGCACUCCAACAGCGCCAACGAGAUGCUGCUGAGGAGGAAGCUCGAGGAGCAGCAGCAGGCGGUGGAGCUGCAGCAGGCGAUCGAGCUCCAGAGCCGGCGCCUCAUGGGACUGCAGCUGCUGGACCUCAAGUCACGCUCCUCCGCCGCAGCAGCACCGACUCCGAUCGGCAACCCGUUCAGUCCCAAGCACACCGCUGCCGCCAGCCCUAACCAGUCACCGCCGGAUUCUGGUAAAGACUUCGUGCGAGCGACGGACAACACAAACCAUAUCACUUGUCGGAACAACAACAGAUGCAGUGUUGCUAAUGUUUCUUGCGCUGAUUUCGUAACAGUGGGAGAGCAAGGCAAUGGCUGCGGCUUCCUCUUCCCUCACAAGGCGGUCAACGGAGCCGAUAAGGAUGAAUCCUCCGGCGAUUCCACCAGCCCUAACACUGACAGUGACCAAAGCGCGGAGCAUAACCUGCCGGACAGCCCGUUUGCGUCGCCGACCAAGGCCGCCACGUUCGCCCGUGGCCCUUUCGCGCCCACUGAGGCCGAGAUCUCCGCGGCCACCGCCUCGACCGGUUGCAACGCCGCCUACAUCGGCAUCGGCAAUGGCGUGAGGAAUGGCACUAACCAUCUCCUGCCCCCUGCAUUGGACAUACCCUCACCAAAACCAUACUUCUUCCCCAUGUCCAGGCUGUCCUCCGAUCACGGCGCGAUCGGGAUGUAAAGUAGGCCCUGAAUGGAAGUGAGUAAUACUACUACUACUGCCUAAUCAUAGAAUACUAGCAGCAAAGAAAAGAGAAUAGUGCACAAUAUACUAGGAAAGAAGAGUGAAGAAGUUGCAGCAUAGUUUUAGUUUCAGUCUCGUUUUUCUUUCUUUCUUUUUUCUUUCUUUCUUCCCCGUCUCCUCUCCAAGUUGAUGGUACCAGCACAUUACUAAACCACAAGAGAGAAGGAAAACAA